AUUGAACGCUGGCGGAAUGCUUUACACAUGCAAGUCGAACGGCAGCACGGGGGCAACCCUGGUGGCGAGUGGCGAACGGGUGAGUAAUACAUCGGAACGUGCCCAGUCGUGGGGGAUAACGUAGCGAAAGCUACGCUAAUACCGCAUACGAACUCUGGUUGAAAGCGGGGGAUCGCAAGACCUCGCGCGAUUGGAGCGGCCGAUGGCAGAUUAGGUAGUUGGUGGGGUAAAGGCCUACCAAGCCGACGAUCUGUAGCUGGUCUGAGAGGACGACCAGCCACACUGGGACUGAGACACGGCCCAGACUCCUACGGGAGGCAGCAGUGGGGAAUUUUGGACAAUGGGCGCAAGCCUGAUCCGGCCAUUCCGCGUGCAGGAUGAAGGCCCUCGGGUUGUAAACUGCUUUUGUACGGAACGAAACGGUCCUGGUUAAUACCUGGGGCUAAUGACGGUACCGUAAGAAUAAGCACCGGCUAACUACGUGCCAGCAGCCGCGGUAAUAC
rnacentral:rRNA from 1 species